rnacentral:rRNA from 1 species
UACGUAGGUGGCGAGCGUUGUCCGGAAUUACUGGGUGUAAAGCGCGUGUAGGCGGGAGGCCAAGUCUGCGGUGAAAUCGCUCGGCUCAACUGGGCGGGGUCCGUGGAAACUGGUCACCUGGAGGACGGUAGAGGCGAGUGGAAUUCCCGGUGUAGUGGUGAAAUGCGUAGAGAUCGGGAGGAACACCAGUGGCGAAGGCGGCGACCUGGGUCGAGACUGACGCUGAGGCGCGAAAGCGUGGGGAGCAAACAGG